rnacentral:rRNA from 1 species
UACGAAGGGGGCUAGCGUUGCUCGGAAUCACUGGGCGUAAAGGGCGCGUAGGCGGCUUUAUAAGUCGGGGGUGAAAGCCUGUGGCUCAACCACAGAAUUGCCUUUCGAUACUGUAGAGCUUGAGACCGGAAGAGGUAAGUGGAACUGCGAGUGUAGAGGUGAAAUUCGUAGAUAUUCGCAAGAACACCAGUGGCGAAGGCGGCUUACUGGUCCGGUUCUGACGCUAAGGCGCGAAAGCGUGGGGAGCAAACAGG